CCGGGCACAGAAACGGGCUCCGGGGGCUGAGCCCCGCUUCUCCGGGGAAGGACCCGCCGCUCCUCGGCCGCACUGCCCCCCGCCCAUCGGUGCCGGCCCGGCUGCGGCGGUCGCGGGGCUGCGUGUGGGUGCGGGGGGGCGCGGAGCAUCUCCCAGGCUGAGGAAGUCCCCGCAGUCGAUGUGCGCUCCUCCUGGAUGGACUGAAAAGUAAAGCGGCCCGAGGCUGGCCUGGUCUGCACACAAGAUGGGCGGUCGGAGAAGAUGUAGACUGAGGAGUCGAUGGUCCAUGAUUUUUAGUGUCCAGGAGGUUGAUGAAGUGGAGAUCCUAGGCUCGUCUCUGGGAAGUGUUUGAUGUCUGGUGCGCGUUCAUCCCGGUGCGCAGUUGUUGCUUGGUCUCUCCUACAUAUUUUCCAUCGGGGCAUUUGGUGCAGCGGAUGAGGUAGAUUACAUUUCUGGAGGUGCAGACCAGCCCUGUACUGCAGCAGUUCUUCACGUGAUAUCCGGGUGGCUCUUUCCCUCGUGCGAUCUCUCUCUCUGGACGAGUGUCGUUGCUGGGCGGACGCCUGUUUAAGGACGGACCGAGGCAGGGCAGGAUAGCAUCGCCCGAGCAGGAUGCGGCCAUGGAUAUGCUGCCUCAGAGCACCCAGUGCCCGAGUGAGGAUCCAGCCCGCAGUACCAGCAGGAUCACACCACAGAAGAUCCGUUCCCGGGCACGUUCAAACACAUUUUGGAUAUGCAUUGAACGGGGAGGCGCAGACCCUGGAGAUGAUCCACUUGGGGGUCCUUCCCAGCAGAGAUGGGACCUACCAGACCUGGGCCACUAUCAAGAUCAACCUGAGCAGCAACCAUGACUACACCUGCAGCGUGGAGCACGAGAGCCUGGGGGCAGCCCUGAGAGUGUCCUGGGACAAGGGCA